GAGAGGAUACAUCAUAAAGAAGAAGAGGAUGCGUCAUAAUCAAACAUGGCGGAAAAUUUGGAUGAGGGUUUUUACAAAUCGACAGAUGAGACACACGUCUGCUUAUCCGGCGGAGACGAGAGCGGCUAAUGAAGCCCCCUUCACCAGAAAGCGGAAUGCUGCCAUCAAAGGCUUUGAAGCUUUUGUGGUGGAGCAGGACCUGCAAGG